UACGAAGGGGCUAGCGUUGCUCGGAAUCACUGGGCGUAAAGGGUGCGUAGGCGGGUCUUUAAGUUAGGGGUGAAAUCCUGGAGCUCAACUCCAGAACUGCCUUUGAUACUGGCGAUCUCGAGUCCGGGAGAGUGAGUGGAACUGCGAGUGUAGAGGUGAAAUUCGUAGAUAUUCGCAAGAACACCAGUGGCGAAGGCGGCUCACUGGCCCGGUACUGACGCUGAGGUGCGAAAGCGUGGGGAGCAAACAGG
rnacentral:rRNA from 1 species